rnacentral:tRNA from 10 species
GGGCGCGUAGCUCAGUUGGUUAGAGCGCUUGCUUGACAUGCAAGAGGUCACAGAUUCGAGUUCUGUCGUGCCCAC